AGAGCGAACGCUGGCGGCAGGCCUAACACAUGCAAGUCGAGCGCGUGUAGCAAUACACGAGCGGCAGACGGGAGAGUAACACGUGGGAACGCGCCCUUCGGUUCGGAAUAACUCAGGGAAACUUGAGCUAAUACCGGAUACGCCCUUACGGGGAAAGAUUUAUUGCCGAAGGAACGGCCCGCGUCCGAUUAGCUAGUUGGUGAGGUAACGGCUCACCAAGGCGACGAUCGGUAGCUGGUCUGAGAGGAUGACCAGCCUCACUGGGACUGAGACACGGCCCAGACUCCUACGGGAGGCAGCAGUGGGGAAUAUUGGACAAUGGGCGCAAGCCUGAUCCAGCCAUGCCGCGUGGAUGAUGAAGGCCUUAGGGUUGUAAAGUCCUUUUAACGGGGAAGAUAAUGACGGUACCCGUAGAAUAAGCCCGGCUAACUUCGUGCCAGCAGCCGC
rnacentral:rRNA from 1 species